rnacentral:rRNA from 1 species
UACAGAGGGUGCAAGCGUUAAUCGGAAUUACUGGGCGUAAAGCGUGCGUAGACGGUCAUGUAAGUCGGGUGUGAAAGCCCCGGGCUCAACCUGGGAAUUGCAUUCGAGACUGCAUGGCUAGGGUGCGGAAGAGGGAAGCGGAAUUUCCGGUGUAGCGGUGAAAUGCGUAGAUAUCGGAAGGAACACCAGUGGCGAAAGCGGCUUCCUGGUCCAGCACCCGACGUUCAGGCACGAAAGCGUGGGGAGCAAACAGG